UAGAAGAAAUUGCAACGAAGCGACGUCGUAAUUGCACCUCGGCGCAAGCAAAUGGCGUGAGCGAAGAGCGACAGAGAGAGAGACGGAGCGGGUAAAGGGGCCAUAGGCGGUGCCCAUAAGUUGGCAUUUUUAUCGAAGCCCAGCGAGUGCCCCUAGCAACAGCAGCAACGCCAACAGAAGGCGAAACAUCCGGCAACGCUGCGCGCCCAAGAUAACAAACUAUAACACUGGAGUACAACAGAGAAAAAACUCUUUAUGCAAAGGAAAUUUAUUACAUGUAUAUUUAUCAGAGAAUGUCUAUGUAUAACAAGGUUCGGUCCGUCAUCUCAAUCAUAAUCUA